GCGGAUCUAGCUCAGCUGGAUAGAGUAUCUGGCUACGAACCAAGUGUUUGUAGGUUCGGCUCUUACCAUUCGCACCA
rnacentral:tRNA from 1 species